rnacentral:rRNA from 1 species
AUGGACCGCAGCAAUGGCAACGGCGGCGUGAGGAACGGCGGGAGGCUGGAGCUGCAGCUUAACCUGUCGCCGCCGGUGGGGAUGGAGGUGGACGGCCAUGACGACAGCGGCUCGUCGUCGCCGAGCUCCUGCGUGUCGUCAGACGGCAGCCCUGGAAGCAAGUCGCCGAUGGUGAUCGGGGCCUGCACCCGGUGCCUCAUGUACUGCAUGGUGGCCAAGAAGGACUACCCCACCUGCAUCAACUGCAAGCAGCCCUGCCUCGUGGACCUGCUGCAGAACGGCGGCGCCGGCGCGGGCGCCUCCGGGGACGGCGACAAGAAGCGCGGCAAGCGCAAGUGA